UGGUCAUCUAUCGGGGGGGGGGGGUGUUUCGAAUGCAGUUUUCCUGCAUUUUAUUUAUUUAUUUAUUGGGGCCCCUGGUGGUGGCGCAGUGUGUUAAAGUGCUGAGCUGCUGAACUUGCAGACCGAAAGGUCCCAGGUUCAAAUCCCAGGCGCGGAAUGAGCGCGGGCUGCUAGCCCCAGCUCCUGCCAACCUAGCAGUUCGAAAACGUGCAAAUGUGAGUAGAUCAAUAGGUACCGCUCCGGCGGGAAGGUAACGGCGCUCCGUGCAGUCAUGCCAGCCACAUGACCUUGGAAGUGUCUACGGACAAUGCCGGCUCUUCGGCUUAGAAAUGGAGAUGAGCACCAACACCCAGAGUCGGUCACGACUGGACUUAACGUCAGGGGAAAACCUUUACCUUUUUAUUUAUUUAUUUAUUUACAGUAUUUAUAUUCCGCCCUUCUCACCCCGAAGGGGACUCAGGGCCACAUUGCACACAUAUAAGGCAAACAUUCAAUGCCAUAACAUACUGUGUUUCCCCGAAAAUAAGACAGUGUCUUAUGUUAAUUUUUGCUCCCAAAGAUGCACUAGGUCUUAUUUUUAGAGGAUGUCUUAUUUUUCCAUGAAGAAGAAUUAACAUUUAUUGUUGAACAAAAAAAAUUAACAUUUAUUAUAUACUGUACAGUAGUUGUCAUCACAAACAAGCAUAACCAGACAAAUUGUGAAUCCUAUCAAGAAUUUCUUGUUACUGUCAUUAUUUCCAUGUACAACAAUCUAUGGUACAUACAUUUACCAAUCCUGCAUGCUUCCAAACACAAACUUUGCUAGGUCUUACGUUCGGGGGAGGCCUUAUAUUUAGCAAUUCAGCAAAACCUCUACUAUGUCUUAUUUUCAGGAGAUGUCUUAUUUUCGGGGAAACAGGGUAGAACAGAGAGAGAGACAGAUGCAGGCACGGGCGGGUCUCGAACUCAUGACCUCUUGGUCAGAGUGAUUUGUUGCAGCUGGCUACGGCAGUGAUUCUCAGCAUGAUGUUUUCAGCCUACAACUCCCAGAAAUUCCAGCCAGAUUACCAACUGUUAGGAUUUCUGGGAGUUGAAGGCCAAAAACAUUGGGUAACCUCAAGUUGAGAACCACUGUUCUAAGGGUUAUAUUGCAGUGUGGACCCAGAUAUUUCAGUUCAAAGCGGGUAUUGUGGAUUGUCUGCAUUAUAUGACUGUGUAGAUGGGCCCUGAAGGGGAAACUUCCCAGGCCUGUCUCCCCUUCAGGAUACAACUUUCAUACUACAGUAGAGUCUCACUUAUCCAAGCUAAAUGGGCCAGCAGAAUCUUGGAUAAGCGAAAAUCUUGGAUAAUAAGGAGGGAUUAAGGAAAAGCCUAUUAAACAUCAAAUUAGGUUAUGGCUUUACAAAUUAAGCACCAAAACAUCGUGUUAUACAACAAAUUUGACAGAAAAAGUAGUUCAAUAUGCAGUAAUGUUAUGUUGUAAUUACUGUAUUUACAAAUUUAGCAACAAAAUAUCAUGAUAUAUUGAAAACAUCGACUACAAAAAUGCCUUGGAUAAUCCAGAACCUUGGAUAAGCGAGUCUUGGAUAAGUGAGACUCUACUGUACUUAUCUUUGACCUCAGCAGUUUUGCUUUGGCUGUGUGAAGGGAGAUCAUGGGUUGAAUUGAUGGAAAGAAGUAAAAGAGAGGAAGGAAAAAAGUGCCCCCUCCCAAAAAAUGUAGUAUUUCUCUUCUUCAAGCCACAACUUCCAUUCUAGUUCUGUCUCUUUACCUCAGCCUUGAGGUGGAAUUAAACUACAAAUGAGGAGAAGGGAAAGGCAAGGUCUUCAAAAUUAGGGUUUCCCAAUGUUCUCAAGACUUUGGGAUUCAUUUCCCCUGGAGGGUUAGGAUCCUGUUCAAACCACAACACGAGAUGACGGUUUUUGAUUAAAUUAGCCACUUUUUAAAGAGAUUUAAUAGAUUGCCACAUCCAUGAGAAUAUCACAGAUGUCCCGAUUAAUACAAGACAGCUCCCACCAUCCCUAUUUUGUUCACACCAUGCCCAUCUUUUCAUGCAACUCUUAACUGGGAAAUAAAUGCCUCUUUUAGCCUCCCUGAUCAUGAAAGCGUUGGCUGAGGGGGGAAAUAAGUGGCAAACAUAUUUUAAGAUUAUUAUAAUGAAGCAUCAUCAUGGUGUAUGUGCAAGAGCUUACAUACACAGGCUGAGUUUCCUUUAUUGUGUAUCAUCCAGUUUUGGGGAACAAUCACUGUACAGCACAAACACAAAGGCAAUUAUGGCUCUUCUUUCCAAAAUGUCACUUUUCCCUUUCGAAAUUUAUUUUCUCCAGCAGUGAACAUAAUGGCACUGGAAUUUGGAGAACUACUAUACAGUAUAUGGAAUAUGUCUGUUCUGCUCCUCAAAUGGUGUCAAAUGGCCUGUGACACCAUUUGAUGGGCAACAAUAAACCUGAAUCCAAUGGGAGAAGGGGGGAUCUUCUCCCAUUAUCUUAGAUCCCACCAUUCAAUAGAUUGCUCUUAGUCUAUCCCCUUCAUAGCAUUUUCAAGAAGCUGAAAAGUCUGCAUUUGCCAUCUCAGUCAUGCACACCUAACUCUUCAUCUAAUUCUACUCAUUUUGGUAGUAAAGUUGAGGUCAGCCCAGCUCUGAGCAUGUUGUUGCUAAACAUUUUUUGUUAUAAGCAGCACCACAAAUUAGAAGAAGAGUCAGGCAGGUGUUAAUGUGACCUGGGGACUGCAGAAUCUUUACUCCGAUUUUGAAUCUCGUUUCACUCAUCUUUCCUAAGACCCCCGAAUUGUACCCAUCCUAUUCACUUUCGUUACAACUAUUUAUGGACCAAAUCUUCACCCCCUCCAGCCAUGGAAACUUCAAGCAAGUAACGCCCUCUCAGCUCGAGCAGAAAGCAAUGGAAAACCCGCUUUGUGCAAACCUUACAAGAAAACCUCAUCAUAAGGAACAUGUUAGAGAUUGGCAGUCAAAUGGCUGAGGACCAUCAUCAAUCCUUGGACCACAACUUCGAGUAGUAUUUUCCUAAAAUACUCUUCUGUACAGUUAAUUGUCAAAGGUCUGUUUCAUUUUUUCAAAGUCUGCUACUCACUGAAGGUAACCAGACAGUGGACCAUUCUGUGGGAGAGAGUUCCCCACAGCUUGACAGGUUCCAGUAAGAAGAAGGACUUCCUUGUGACUUCACUAAAUAUGCCUAUGGGUGCAAUAGGGCUGAGAAAGAACUGUUUGCUAAUAUCUCAGAACUCAGAAAACUUAUAUCGAAUAAUGGGAAUCUGAAAAUAAACAUGUGUUCUUGGCCUUGUUAACAACCUUU